UACGUAGGGUGCGAGCGUUAAUCGGAAUUACUGGGCGUAAAGCGUGCGCUAGGCGGCUUCGCAAGUCAGACGUGAAAAUCCCCGGGCUUAACCUGGGAAUGGCGUUUGAAACUACGGAGCUGGAGGAUGGCAGAGGGGGGUGGAAUUCCACGUGUAGCGGUGAAAUGCGUAGAUAUGUGGAGGAACACCGAUGGCGAAGGCAGCCCCCUGGGCCAAUACUGACGCUCAUGCACGAAAGCGUGGGGAGCAAACAGG
rnacentral:rRNA from 1 species